rnacentral:rRNA from 1 species
CCUACGGGAGGCAGCAGUGGGGAAUCUUAGACAAUGGGGGAAACCCUGAUCUAGCCAUGCCGCGUGAUCGAUGAAGGCCUUAGGGUUGUAAAGAUCUUUCAGAUGGGAAGAUAAUGACGGUACCAUCAGAAGAAGCCCCGGCUAACUCCGUGCCAGCAGCCGCGGUAAUACGGAGGGGGCUAGCGUUAUUCGGAAUUACUGGGCGUAAAGCGCACGUAGGCGGAUCAGAAAGUCAGAGGUGAAAUCCCAGGGCUCAACCUUGGAACUGCCUUUGAAACUCCUGGUCUUGAGGUCGAGAGAGGUGAGUGGAAUUCCGAGUGUAGAGGUGAAAUUCGUAGAUAUUCGGAGGAACACCAGUGGCGAAGGCGGCUCACUGGCUCGAUACUGACGCUGAGGUGCGAAAGCGUGGGAGCAAACAGAUUAGAUACCCUGGUAGUCCACGCGUAAACGAUGAAUGCCAGUCGUCGGGUAGCAUGCUAUUCGGUGACACACCUAACGGAUUAAGCAUUCGCCUGGGAGUACGGCCGCAAGUUAAAACUCAAAGAAUGACGGCUGAGACGNGCGAGACGACACGAGGAGAG